rnacentral:tRNA from 1 species
GCGAAAAACCAAAACGGCAGUUGCCUUUAGGUUCCAGCGCCGCAAGGCGUGGGGGUUCGAGUCCCCCCUUUCGCACCA